CAGUACCUGCGCCUUCGUUUCAACGACGGCAUUUCUUUGACAGCAUGUGCCAUCUACAUUAUUCUCACGCAAAGCAUAGGGGCCAUCUCUAUUUUUGCUGCAUCACUGACUCUUGUGACAGCCUUGCACGUACCGCUCCUUUGGUGCACUAUUGGCAUUGGAUUUUCUGCAACCUUCUACACAGCAAUGG